rnacentral:rRNA from 1 species
GCCCCGCCUGGGGAGUACGAUCGCAAGAAUUAAAACUCAAAAGGAAUUGACGGGGGCCCCCGGCACAAGCAACGGAGCAUGCGGCUUAAUUCGACGCAACGCGAAGAACCUUACCAAGGCUUGACAUAUAGGGAAAAGUGGCAGAGAUGUCAUGUCCGCAAGGGCUCUAUACAGGUGGUGCAUGGUUGUCGUCAGCUCGUGUCGUGAGAUGUUGGGUUAAGUCCCGCAACGAGCGCAACCCUCGUUCUGUGUUGCCAGCAUUUAGUUGGGGACUCACAGGAGACUGCCGGGGUUAACUCGGAGGAAGGUGGGGAUGACGUCAAAUCAUCAUGCCCCUUAUGUCUUGGGCUGCACGCAUGCUACAAUGGCCGGUACAGGGGGCUGCAAUACCGUAAGGUGGAGCGAAUCCCAAAAAGCCGGUCUCAGUUCGGAUUGAGGUCUGCAACUCGACCUCAUGAAGUUGGAGUUGCUAGUAAUCGUAGAUCAGCAUCGCUACGGUGAAUACGUUCCCGGGGCUUGUACACACCGCCCGUCACGUCACGAAAGUCGGUAACACCCAAAGUCAGUGGCCCAACCGUAAGGGGG